rnacentral:tRNA from 1 species
UGGCUCAGUGGUAGAGCGCUUGCUUGGCAUGCAUGAGGCCCUGGGUUCGAUUCCUCAG